CUCUCCCUACGGGACGCAGCAGUGGGGAAUAUUGCACAAUGGGGGAAACCCUGAUGCAGCAACGCCGCAUGAAGGAAGACGGUUUUCGGAUUGUAAACUUCUGUUCUUAGUGAAGAAUAAUGACGGUAGCUAAGGAGCAAGCCACGGCUAACUACGUGCCAGCAGCCGCGGUAAUACGUAGGUGGCAAGCGUUGUCCGGAAUUACUGGGUGUAAAGGGAGCGCAGGCGGGAAGCCAAGUCAGCUGUGAAAACUACGGGCUUAACUUGGAGACUGCAGUUGAAACUGGUUUUCUUGAGUGAAGGAG
rnacentral:rRNA from 1 species